AAGACCUCAAAUCAGGUGGGACUACCCGCUGAACUUAAGCAUAUCAAUAAGCGGAGGAAAAGAAACUAACAAGGAUUCCCCCAGUAACGGCGAGUGAAGAGGGAAAAGCCCAAAUUUGUAAUCUGGCUCUUUUAGAGUCCGAGUUGUAAUUUUGAGAACUGUUUUCUGUGCUGGACCAUGUUUAAGUCUGUUGAAAAACAGCAUCAUUGAGGGUGAUAAUCCCGUUCAUGAUAUGGACUACCAGUGCUAUAUGAUACAGUCUCUAAGAGUCGAGUUGUUUGGGAAUGCAGCUCAAAGUGGGUGGUAAAUUCCAUCUAAGGCUAAAUAUAGGUGAGAGACCGAUAGCAAACAAGUACCGUGAGGGAAAGAUGAAAAGAACUUUGGAAAGAGAGUUAACAGUACGUGAAAUUGCUGAAAGGGAAACAAUUGAAGUUAGCCUUGUUAUUUCCAGUUCAACCCUUUUAGGGUGUAUUCUGGUAAUUAACGACCAACAUCAGUCUUUGAGUGCUGGAUAAGGGUUUUGGAAAUGUAGCAGUCUAGGCUGUGUUAUAGUCCAUUACUUUGAUACAGUGCUUAGGAUUGAGGAUCGCAGUAAGCCAAUCUUGGUGGAUCAAUUUAUUG
rnacentral:rRNA from 1 species